AUGGCAUUCGUUGACUUGUUUAAAGGCAUCCUAAUCGGCGAUGUCCUCGAAGGUAGCCCCCAGUUCCUCUACAUUCCGCUGCCAGCAACAACAGAGAUCAGUCAACCAUGGACCAAUUACCCCUUGUAUACUCGCGACGUUAGCAUCGACAUGUCGUCCGGCCACAUCCGCAUCAAGUUCAUUGAGCUGGUUUGUCCUUUGCACUUGCCGGCUUGGGCUGCUACCACAUGGAGUACUACCACUACAGCUACAAGUCCUUGGCUCCGACUCGAGGAGUGGGACACUCACACUAUUCUCGAGGCUAGACAACUUUCGGUGGGUGACGGUGUCAACACUGCUGGGCUGCUGCCUGAGGCUUUGCAGUCUGAGGGCAAACCAGAUUUUGGGCUUCUCUUCAUUAACUUGCCAAUGUUAAGCUUACACGAAGACAACAUCGUCUGCUUCUUAGCCAAGCAGCAUUACUUAAAUAAGCAAGCGUGGGUGAUUGCUGUCGACACGGUGACGAAGAAGCUGCUAGGAGUCCAUCCUUUUCAGAUGGGAAGAUUCACAACACUGUUCUACAGCACCAUCUCUAGCCAUCUCAAUAUAAGUGCUGCAGCUUCAGGUGCAAAGGGAGACCUGGAAUGGCUAGGAACGCACCGUGAACAGCAAGGCGGCGUGGGAGCUUAUGAUGCGGAUGACAAGGAGCUGGAACAUGUGAAGCCAUGUCUGAUUUAG
rnacentral:rRNA from 1 species